rnacentral:rRNA from 1 species
GAGUUUGAUCCUGGCUCAGGAUGAACGCUGGCGGUAUGCUUAACACAUGCAAGUCGAACGGAAUGCUUCGGCAUUUAGUGGCGGACGGGUGAGUAACGCGUGAGAAUCUGGCUUUAGGUUCGGGACAACAGCGGGAAACUGCUGCUAAUACCGAAUGUGCCUUAAUCGGUGAAAGAUUAAUUGCCUGAAGAUGAGCUCGCGUCUGAUUAGCUAGUUGGUGAGGUAAAGGCUCACCAAGGCGACGAUCAGUAACUGGUCUGAGAGGAUGACCAGUCACACUGGGACUGAGACACGGCCCAGACUCCUACGGGAGGCAGCAGUGGGGAAUUUUCCGCAAUGGGCGAAAGCCUGACGGAGCAAUACCGCGUGAGGGAGGAAGGCUCUUGGGUUGUAAACCUCUUUUCUCAGGGAAGAACAAAAUGACGGUACCUGAGGAAUAAGCAUCGGCUAACUCCGUGCCAGCAGCCGCGGUAA